rnacentral:sRNA from 1 species
UUGUUGUGGAGCAUCAGCGUUAAGGACAGCCGGCUGCUGUGGGAGCAAUUUCCUGCUGCAGAGAGCAUUUUAAGAAAGGACAGCAUUCCUGUGACCUCUGCCUACCAUCCAUAAAAUACUCAUUCCCCUCUCAGAUAUAAGAAGCUCUGAUACGAAAGCCGGGGGCUCCUGUUGGCUGGAAGGAGGUUUGCAUCUGCCAUCGCCAGCACUUGUGGAGCUGAGCUCUGCCUGCAGUUGAACACAAAGACCUGGAGGAGACUCCCACCUCCUUCAGGGAGAAGAAAGGAGGCAGCGAAGCAGAUUAAAGGAACUUGUGGCUUGUGGCCUUUUUGUGCAAGGGCUGCCUGGAAGGG